rnacentral:rRNA from 1 species
ACUUUCAACAACGGAUCUCUUGGCUUCCGCAUCGAUGAAGAACGCAAGGACCGGCGAAACGUAAUGUGAAUUGCAGAAUUCAGUGAAUCAUCGAGUCUUUGAACGCAUCUUGCACUCCUUGGUAUUCCGAGGAGUAUGCCUGUUUGAGUGUCGU